ACAUUGGAAAAUCGGUUAUUUAUUUGUGCAAGUAAGUGGACGUGGGUAAACGAAGCCAAAACUGGCAGCACGUUUGCCGGGGAGAUUGCCCGAUGCUUGUGGCAGGCACAUGCAUUAAUCAACAGGAGUGUUACGGGCAAAAUGUGUAUGCGAAAGCUAAAGGAAGGUUGCAAGGCCAAGCCAGCGUCGACACCACAAAAACUUGGUGCAUAUUGAAUGUUGCCUCUUUCAUUUCGCACCACUUCAUUCUAUGGCAUGGAGCACCACGUAAGCUGAUCAGGAAUACAUGAUGUGCAAUGCUGCCGGACGUUGUGGAAGAACUUCUGGAGAAUUGCAAUGUCGUUCAUCACACUACCAUGGCCUACCAUUUUCUAGCGAAUGACUGGGACCAUGUCCAACCCCUUGCGACCUAAGCACACUAUCGUGCUAUGUAGAUCACCACUGGAUUGUCUCCUUACUUCUUACUACUUGGACAGGAACCUUCCACCACACUGGAGACCAUACUUCCUUAUCACGCAAA